rnacentral:lncRNA from 1 species
AGCCUCACCUACAGCAUAUGGAAGUUCCCAGGCUAGGGGUUGAAUCAGAGCUGCAACUGCAGGCUACACCACAGCCACAGCAAUGCCAGAUCCAAGCUGCAUCCAUGACCUAUGCCGCAGCUUGUGGCAAUGCCAGAUCCUUAACCCAUUAAGCAAGGCCAGGAAUCCAACCGUCAUCCUUAUAGAUACUAGUUGGGUUCCUAACCUGCUGAGCCACAAUGGGAACUCCAAAUCUUUUUCUUUCACUUUUUACUGCCCUCAAUUUUUCAUACUCUUCUGUCUUAGGAGGAUUCCCAAGCUUGUAUUUAUUUAUUUAUUUAUAUUAUUUUAUUUUAUUUUGUCUUUUUAAGACAGCACCUGCAACACAUGGAAGUUCCCAGGCUAGGAGUUGAAUUAGAGCUGUAGCUGCUGGCCUACACCACAGCCACAGACGCGGGAUCUGAGCCAUGUCUGUAACCAACAACACAGCUCAUGGCAAUGCUGGAUACUUAACCCACUGAGCAAGGCCAGGGAUCAAACUUAUGUCCUCAUGGAUGCUAGUCAGAUUUGUUUCUGCUGGGCCAUGAAGGGAACUCCACCUCCUGCUUCAAUUUACCCUGCUACAGGGUAAAAUUAGUAAGUUAUCUAGACAGACAAGUAUAGCAUAAAGUUCAGAAGGGAAGAUAGGCUGACUUGCAAAGGUACAGCUCCCUAAGCACAGGCCUCCUUGGGUUUGCUACUUAAUUUCUGAGUCUUGAUUAUGUUAUAUUUACCCUUUACUUUCUCUGUGUCUCAACUUAUUCGUAAAAAAGGAAAUAAAAUACAACAUAAUAGUUAUUUCCAAAUUAAGUGAAUAAAUGUAGAGAGUUGUUGGGUAUAAGAUAUUAUAUAACAUUAAGAUACAAUUUUAAUGCAAUUAUUAUAAUAAUCAAGAGUUUCUAAUGGAGAUAAGGUGUGCAGGCUAUUUGUAUCAUUUGGCCCUUAAUUACUGAGCUCCUGACUAUAUGUUGAGCUCCUCACUGGGUGCUUAUGCAUGAUUUCUACAGCAGCCCUGAAAUGCAGCAUCACGUCUCUAUUUUAUAAGUAACUGGAAUAUAUUCAGAGAAGUGAUAUUCUCAAAGUCCCACAUAGAAAGUGACAAAGUCAGAUGUCGGCUCUAGGCCUAGUCUGCCUAAUUCCAAAAUCUGUGCCCAGUCCCUCACCCACAAAGAUAAUAGUGAGGUGGCCAGGGUGAGGACCCUUAGCUGAGCAGUCCUGGACCCCAGGCAAGUCCAGGGAAUAUUUUUAAGCUGAGUGUUCCCAUCCAUAAGAUUAUACUGGAUAAUCUUUAGGAACCCAGCAAAGUAAUUUCCCAGAAUGAGUGAAGAUUCUGGGAUCUGUAUUUUUUUAAAGUGUGGUCUGUUUUUGCAAUGUCAGUUUUCUAAUUAAAUCCUUUACUAUGCUUAGAUUAGUCACUAUCACGCAAGUAAUGACGUCAACAAAGAGAAGGAAUUUCCUUAGGUCCACAAUGGCAAGAGAAAGCUGCGUAGAGCAGUAACGUCUGUUUUGCUCUUUCAUUUUGUUCACUAAAUGUGUUAAGUCUUCCCAAAAGAGUGUAAUUAUAUGCCACAACAGAGAGUGCAAUAUAUUUUCUUGUACUUAGAUUGUCUGUCUCAGGUAUUUUUUAAGAAUUAUUUAGUACCUAUUUUUAAUAUCAAGGAAUUAUUUUCAAAUUAUUUGCUCAUUUCUAUAUUAAAUAUGGAUAGGAGUUCCCUAAUGGCAUAGUGAUUAAGUGUCCAACAUUGUCACACUAUAGCUUGGGUUAUUGCUGUGGCUCGGGUUCAGUCUCUGGUCUGGGAACUUCUCUAUGCCUCAUGUGCAACCAAAAAACAAAUGAAAAAAAUACAUGGAUUGAUAAGCUUGAUUUAACUCUUUAUUCCUAUACAAAAAACAUGAAUGUCCUCCAGCAUUAAAAGAAAUGAAAAAGAAUGUAUAUUCUUUCAUUAUUUUGGACAUCUGGUCUUAAGAGUCAAUAUUAUCUGGACUCUGUCAAGCCUCUUUCAGUCACUAAGAUCCCCCCUUUAGAUAGGAAUGUUGUCUUAUAUUGUCUAAAAGCCAUAUUACAAACUUCUUGCCAUUUAUUUUUAUUAAUGCAAAGCCAUUUAUUAGAUUUAAUGAACAUACAAGGAUUCAUAUUCAGAAUUGAGGAUGGCUAAGGAGAUUCCAGCAUAGAUUACUUUACAAGUAUUUCAAAACAUAAAUUUAAAAUGGAAAAUUGAAAUGAGAAAUUUUACUUCUUUUUGAUUAAAAAUGAAAAUUAAUAAUAGGUAUAAAUUAAAACACUAAAUAAAUAAAUCAAUAUAUAAGUCUCUGAUCCCUACGGCAUCUUUACAAUUCAUGAAACAUCUGCCAAUUUUGUGAUAUAGCCCUAAUAUCUUCAGAACUCUCACAUUAACAAAAUUAGUAUACUGCAUUUGAAGUAACACAUGAAAUUCUAUGCAAUAAAACAUUACAUUGAUUGAUUGUGAUACUUAACAGUGCUUAACACUUAUUUAGCACUUUAUAUCUUCAAAGCACUUCACAAACAUUAACUAAUUAAUCAUCAUGUCACUGCAAUGUCAGGGAGGUGGUGGAAUUCCCAUUUCUGAGAUGAAGGAAUUAAAUAAAGUGGCUUAUGGCAGUGAAAGACUUCAGAAAGUCUAAAUAUCAAUACCUCAGGAAAGUUUCAAAUAAGAGACUAGAACAGGGAAUUGACUGUGUAUAUAUGAUAUAAAGAAAGCAGUGCAAGUUAAUAUCAUAUUACAAUCCUAGACACUUUUCACCUAUGGCACUUAGAAGAAGAAUAAAUGGCCAUUGCCAACAAACCAUGUUUCCUUUCUAACCUUUGCUAUUCUCAAAAGCUAUUAUCUAAUUAAUUUUGCCUAAUAUUUACACUUUUUUCAUAAUUAAAAACUUGUGAAUUUAAAAAGAAAAUUGUUUAGAAAUUUUCCAUUUUUCAUCAAUAAUCAUGUUAAGGAAAAAAAAUCAACUGCUGGAAAUCUUCAAAAAAUUGUUUAGGAGUUUCCAUCAUGACUCAGUGGUUAACGAACCCAACUAGUAUCCAUGAGGAUGUGGGUUCGAUCCCUGGCCUCGUUCAUUGGGUUAAGGAUCCAGCAUUGCCGUGAGCUGUGGUGUCAAUUGCAGGUGUGGCUCAGAUCUUACGUUGCUGUGGCUGUGGCGUAGGCCAGCAGCUAGAGCUCCAAUUCGACCCUUAACCUGGGAACCUUCAUAUGCCAUGGGUGUGGCCCUAAAAAGACAAAAGACGAAAAAAAAUUAUUGAAAAAGCAACAAUAUUAACAAAUUUAAAUAAUUUUGAGUAAUAAUUUUCAAAAAUAUUAUCAAUAAAAGUUCUAAGUCUCUUAAAGAAUGCUAUUCAGAAAGUGUCACUAUUUAAACUUUCCUGAAGAUUUUUAUCUGACCCAUGAUACAGUACUAUUGAUCCGACUUACACUGAAAUUCAUACUAUGUAGACUCCAAAAGUACAAACAUUUGGUUGAAGUAUAACAUAGAUACAGAAAGGACUGAAAAUUAUAUAGUUUAACAAAUUUUACAAAGUAAGCACAACUGGGAAACCACCAGAUAGAUCAUGAAACAGAACUCCAGACAUUCCCAUGUCCCACCUCCAAGUCACUGACUUCCAAAGGUAAUCUCUCCUACGACUCCUAUCUCCACCAAUAUUUUGUCUGUUCUUAAACUUUACAAUAAUGUACUUAUGCAGUAUAUAUUACAUUUACUCUUUUGUGAUUAUUUUUGUAGGUUUUUUUUUUUAACAAGGAUCAUCCAUGGUGUUAGAGGCAGCAGUAUUUACUUUCACUGCCAUAUAGUAUUACUUUGACAUGUGUGUACAUGUGACUGUGGGUCUAUACACACACCACCGUUUACUUGAUUGAGUCUACUGUUGAUGGACUUUUGUUCCACUUUAGAACCAUCACAUUAGUGCUAUUAUGAGCAUUUUUGUACAUAUGUUUUGGUGCACAUAUGCGUAAAUUUCUAUUUAAAUAUAGGUGCAGAAUUUUUGCAUUAUAGGGAGUGCCAAGCAAUUUUUCAAAAUUAUUCUUCCAUUUCAUGUUCCCACCAACAAUGUUAAGAGAAUUCCUUUGCUCCACAGUCUCUCCAAACUUGUAUAAAUAAAUUUUUACUGGAACAUAGGCAUACAUAUUAGUCUAAUAUUAUCUAUGGCUGAUUUCAUGCUAUGGCCACAAAGACAAAGAAUUAUGACACAGAUCAUAUGGCUCGUGUAUUAGUUUCCUUGGGCUGCCAUGACAAACUAUCACAAACUGGUGGGCUCAUAACAACAAAAUUUAUUCUCUUGUAGUUCUAGAAGCCAGAAGCCAUAAACCAAAGUGUUGACAGAGGAGUAAUUCCUCUGGAAGCUCUAAGAAGGGGCGCUUUCCUUGCCCCUUCUAGUUUUGGUAGCUGUUAGCAUUCCUUAACUUCUUUGGCUUGUGCCUACAACAUACCAAUCCCUGCCUCAGCUUCACAUGAAUUUCUCUGUAUGUCUGUUCUCCUCUGUGUGUCUCUUAUAAGGAAACAUUGUAUAUAGGUACCUUCAAUAAUCCAGAGUUCUCAAUUUAAUCAUAUCUGAAAAGACCCUUUUCCCAUAUAAGGUAAUAUUCACAAGUCCCGAAAUUUAUACAGAUAUCUCAAAUGGGAUAUUGUUCAGCCCAUCAUACUCCAUUAUAUUUAUUUACUGUCUUGCCCUUUACAACAGAAAUGUAUCAAUCCCUGCAUUAAAGAAUAUUUUACUAUGUUUACUGGCCAUUUGGAUUGUCUCUUUUCUGAAGCAAAUUUUUCUACACACACACACACACACACACACACACACAAACACAAACAUGGCAAAAAUUUCCUUUUGUUUUGAUGCCAAAACUUGCCUUUUCAACCCCUAAUUUGUGUACUUUGAUAAACAGAAAUAUUUAAUUUUAUUUUUUUACUUUUAUUAUAGUUGACUUACAGUGUUAUGCCAAUUUCUGCUGUUUACAAAGUGCUUAAUUUUAAUAUAGCCCAAUUUAUCCCCAUUUAGUUGGUUAGUAUUUUUUAUGCCUUAUUUGCCUCAGAGUCAAGAAGAUGUUAUUUGUCUCCUAAAAGUUUCAUUGGUUCACCUUUCAUAUUUAAUUAUUUUCCUCAACUAAGGAUAAAAAGAAAAAGCCAGAUACACAACCUGCCUGGCACCAACACACCUAGAAUGGCAAUCUAGAAGCAGGAUGAAUAUCACAGUCAUGGGAGAUCUUCCCUAAAAAAUUAGGGGUCCGAGCCAUGCCUUAAGUUCUCCAGCCUAGGGACCUGCACCAGAAGACAAUCCUCCAUAAUGUCUGGCCUUGAAAAACAGUAGGGCUUACAUCUGGAUGAACUGGAGGGGGUAGGAAACUGAAACUGUUAAAGAGUGUGCACUAAUUCAUUUGCUCUAAGUCCCAGCACAGAGGCAAUGGUUUGAAAAAUGCCUGGGUCAUAAAUGAAGGUGGUUCAGUGACUAAUUUUAGUGUACGUGCCCAGGGGGCAGGAAUUUGUAGGAACUGUCUCUGAGUAUGGAAGUGCUGACAGGUGCCAGAGGUUUUUGCUCACCUUCUACAAAGCUGGCCUGGCACAGGGAGGUGCCAUUCUGACUCUCCCAAUCUACCUUACUGCCACUGUAUGCAGUGGUUUAAAAACCCCU